AAAAUUUCAUUUAGCGGACACAUCAAAUCUGAAAUAAAUUUCAAAUCGAAUUUUCUCACAUCGUAAACCUUUAUGCAUUCAAUCUACCAUUCUAAUACGCUGUUAUAACAACUGCGCGCGAAGAAUUGAAUUGAAUAUUGCUGUAAAAGGAUUGAAACCUAUUCGUAUAGUCUACGUUUAGACUACGCAUAACUCUAAUACUUAUCUUUGAUGCGAAAUAUCUAUAACUAACAGACAGAAUGUGGAAGAUCGUUACAACACACACACACAGGGAGAGAAAUUGGCAACAUAAUUACAUAGGAUUUCAUUCAUUCAGUAACAUCCUUCCCGAGGGAAUAAAAGUGUUUUUAACAAGCACGUGGCUUCUAUUUUGCAAAGCAAAAAUGAAUGUUUGUGAAACAAAUGCAUUCCUCACCGCUCGAAAAGCUCGUUCGUAAAACCACUUGCACAUCCGUGGAUUCGAUCCUUUGCGAAGAGAAAAAAAAUUGAAGAAGAAGAAAGAUUCGCUCCAACUCAAAGGAAACCGUUCUCUUUUUUCGACUCUUCUCUUCGAUCCCUCCUCCUUUUUUCUCUCCUUCUCUCCCUCCUCGUUUCUUUUCUUUUCACACCUCGAACCGUGACAAGGGGAAAAUAAAAGAAGAAGAAGAAAAAAGCGAAGAACGAAGAAGGAGUUGGAUGGAGAAAUCUUUGAGCAGCGUUUCAAAGCGGUAAAACGUCGGAGGGCGAAGAAUCGAACGGUAAAGGAGAAUCCGUGAAAAUGGAGUCCGAUUGACCGCCAAGAAAGAAACGUACCACGAAGAUGUUACGUCCGCCCCGUAAAAAUUGCAGGAGAGGAAAUGGGGAGGGGGGAGGGAGAGGCGAUAUUUCGAUAUUCACUUCGGUUGAAACUUGACGAGCGAGGAGGUGGAAGUCAACCGGAUUCAACUUGUGGUCUUGGAGAGAGUGGAACAAUAGGAAUUAUUUUUCCGGAAGAAAAAAGAGGAGGCAAAUCCAAAACACCGUUUACUUAUUCAUUCUUUCUCGUGCGGAAGGUCUCUAUUAAUUCGAAGGAUGAUUUAACGAGACGGCACAAGUUGUUCGCCAUAAUCCUGCGUAUGUAUGCGCGCCCCUCUCUUUUUUUCCCCAGCCUCUCUUAAUCCCAUGACGUUCGGAUAACUUAAGGUUUGCCUCUCCUUUCCUGCGCUUUUCGACCCUCGUCCGCUAAUAGCAACAAGUUACUUGUGACCCGUCAGCGGGACAGACCCUUGCGACGCCUCUAUAUUUAGUCCACGGGUCGAACCACUAGAGAACGGCGAGAAAACACAAAAGAAAGCUGGAGAGCGGCGGCGAAACGAAACGAGUGCAAAGGGGACACGGUGAUAUCUCGCCACGAAGAUUCUGCGGCUUCUGGCUCGCAGCUGCUCACCAUGGUCGCGGUAAAAACAAUGUGCAUAGAUAUGGCAGACGAGCUGAAAGGGCCCGGCCUCGCCCUGCUGACGCGGCCAGUUUCAGGAUAUCCGCAGGAGAUCUUCGGAUAAAUUCGACCGAAUUCUUUUGCUCAUCCACGCAUUGAAAGAAGAAGGGAAACUUGUGUUCUCUUUCUUCUCGGAUUUUGAAAAAGAUUUUAUUUGAAUGAUAAUACGAAAGAUUGUACGAUGUAUUUGAUUGUACAGAUGUGUUGAUAUAUGAUUGUUGAGAAGUUGUAUGAUUUUUAUUAUUGUAUUAUAUUGCUUUUGAAGGCUAAAAAAAGUUAUUUUAAAAUUGUCGAAACGAGAUUAAUUUCAUAUGGCAGAUGAUAAAUUUUGUACAAGCACGAAAUGAAAGCUUUAAUGAUAUUGUUGUAAGAAUAACUUGGGGAUCGCAAAAAUAGCUCUAAGAGCGGCUCUCGUGUCGUUGCAGUGUAUAACUGGCAAUUUGAUGUCGAUCCAGAGCUGUACUAUAUACCGAGCUAUAUACCAUUACCAUAAUAUAGCAGCAAUGACUGAUGCCACGUUAUAUAUGGAAGAAAUGAAUAUUAACAUAGAUGAAUUUUCUUGUACAGUGUUACAGAGAAAACUGUAAAAUUGAUAUGAUAAAUAAGAUUGAUAUCAAAUAAGAAAAUAAUUAAUCUCUGUUACAAAUAUAUUUCAUGUUUUAGAGACAAAAAUCACACUGUUGUAUAUCUAAUUGAUUAAUAUUCAUUAAUACAUGGAUAAUUUUUAUAUCAUGUAUAAAUUGCACGAAAUAUUGCAAUAAAUAUAUUAUUUAUUUUUAAUUAAAUACUUGACUCUGUACAAGAGAUGGAGAUUCAAUUUUAUCUUCACAUUUUGAUUUAAAGUAUCUCUCUAGAAAUUAAUCGUAAGACCUUUAUGACUUGUGUAUCGUAAAAUCGAUCGAAGAGAGAAGAAAUUAAACUUCAACUUCUUGUCACAACACUCCAAGUCUCGCGUGUUUUCGACGUCGAAACUGGGUUUUCGCGGAAACGUGUAAGGAAAAGGAAAAAAAAAAGUUUCACGAAAUGACGAGAGAGAGGGAGAAAUGUUUCUUGCGCAAGUGUCGAGAGACAGGUCCCUCGUUGUGCUGCUUUGAAACUCAUCAACAUCGGUGAAACAAGACAAUGAUAGAUCGUAGCUUGGCUGAAAGAUUUUUUACUUCAAUUACGUCAAUCUUAUUUUUCCAAAAGAUAUGAAAGGGAAAAAAAAAAACAAAAGAAUCGUGCAGCGAUUAAUUAAUUAUUCAAAUCGCAUCCUCUUUAAAAAAAUUCACUAUGUGAAUAAUAAAAAAAAAAAUCUACAUUUCUUUCAAUAGUUUUCUCCACUUGCAUAAAAUUUACUUGACCGGUUUCUUUCAGGUGUUAACAAUGACGACUUGAACUUGACAAAGUGAUUCGUCACAAAAUUGAAUUGCGCAAAAGCACGAAACAAAAAGAAAGUUGGCCACGUUGUUAAGCGCAAUACGGUUAUCAAGCGGAGGAGGAGUUGAGCGAGAAAGCACAAAGCUCACCGCUAUAAGCUUGUAAUGAAGUUGGCAAGUAGAGAUAGACCAGAGUUCGUAAUACAGCGCCGAAAAGGCGAGAUCGAAUCGCGAAACUCCGCCUUUUCUGCGUUUCAGCUCGACGAUGGAAAAAAAUCUAUCGACGAUUGUUUUAAAAACGACGGAAAUUCCCCGUCUAACGAUACCGUUACCGAUAUCCGAUGAAUUUUUCAAGCCUCGUCGCUCAAAGACGACCAGAACACUUAAGCCAGGUCAAAACCUAAAGCCGGAUCCACGCUUAACGAACCAGUAAUUCUUUUCAAUUCGACUAUACUUUUUAUUCCAUUUCUUCUUCUUUAAUGCAAAUAUAAACAAAUAUCCUUUUCUUCAUAAUUUUUCUUCAUUCUAAAUUCAGGAAUAAAUUUUUUAUCGUAUUAUAUUUUUAUUAAAAAGAGAUCAUCAAUGUUAUUUUCUCUGUCUCAUAAUUUGGAAAUAUUAAAUUACAGUUUUCUUCAAAGUAAAUCUUUUU